rnacentral:rRNA from 1 species
AUUGAGCGCUGGCGGCAGGCCUAACACAUGCAAGUCGAGCGGAUGAAGGGAGCUUGCUCCUGGAUUCAGCGGCGGACGGGUGAGUAAUGCCUAGGAAUCUGCCUGGUAGUGGGGGAUAACGUCCGGAAACGGGCGCUAAUACCGCAUACGUCCUGAGGGAGAAAGUGGGGGAUCUUCGGACCUCACGCUAUCAGAUGAGCCUAGGUCGGAUUAGCUAGUUGGUGGGGUAAAGGCCUACCAAGGCGACGAUCCGUAACUGGUCUGAGAGGAUGAUCAGUCACACUGGAACUGAGACACGGUCCAGACUCCUACGGGAGGCAGCAGUGGGGAAUAUUGGACAAUGGGCGAAAGCCUGAUCCAGCCAUGCCGCGUGUGUGAAGAAGGUCUUCGGAUUGUAAAGCACUUUAAGUCGGGAGGAAGGGCAGUAAGUUAAUACCUUGCUGUUUUGACGUUACCAACAGAAUAAGCACCGGCUAACUUCGUG